GACAGAGGAUGCAAGCGUUAUCCGGAAUGAUUGGGCGUAAAGCGUCUGUAGGUGGCUUUUUAAGUCCGCCGUCAAAUCCCAGGGCUCAACCCUGGACAGGCGGUGGAAACUACCAAGCUGGAGUACGGUAGGGGCAGAGGGAAUUUCCGGUGGAGCGGUGAAAUGCGUAGAGAUCGGAAAGAACACCAACGGCGAAAGCACUCUGUGCUGGGCCGACACUGACAUGAAGAGGACGAAAGCUAGGGGAGCGAACUGGG
rnacentral:rRNA from 1 species